AUAUACCCCCCUCCCAAGAACGCCCUCACACCACCACCGGACGGGUGAAGAGGAGGCUGCUGGACCACAGACCACCCAGAGAGACGGAGACGGAGAGACAGACAUCAGGACGGGAGUCGGGCCGCUGGAGAGCAAAUCCAAAGGGUAAAAAAAAUAAAUAUCAUAUCAAAACUAAAGGAGGGAAACCAGUUGAAAAGAAAAUUAGAGGAAGACAGACACAGCCAAAAGAAAAUGGAAAUGUCCAAGUGAAUAAACUGAAAGAGAAAAGAAAGCUUUGUUCCUCCUGCAAACACAUUAUUUACUAUAAAAGCAGAAACAUGCAAGAGAGAAAGCAAAGGCGCUGAACAUUUACUCUUAUUCUUUUUUUAGUUUUACCCAAGAGUAUAAAAAGAAAAUGUUUCAACAGUGCACGUUACAACAAAUGCACAGAUGAAUACACAACAAACAAUGGACAUCGCAGCCUGAAGACAACAACUUUACAUUUACAUUACAGGUCACUGAGCUGACGCUUUUCUCCAAAGCGACUUACAUUUUUAACCCGUGGCUUUUACACUUUUUUGCCCGAGGAGCUUUAAGGUGAAAUAAAGGGUCGUAAACAUGGACACAAUCAAAAGAGUCCGGGUGACAUGAAACGCCUUCACACACACACACACACACACUCUCUCACACACACACACAACAAGCAAUUGCUGUAACAAGCAGCAGAAUCCAUUUAGUUUAGUGCGCCAUUUAUGGGACACAUCACAACCGGGACGUAUAAGGACACGUUGGGACACAUCGGGACACAAGAACAGGAAGCCAGUGAAAGAAGGCGGAGGGAAGUGAGACGGGCGGAGUGACUCUCCGUCUCCAUGUGCCGUCGGUCCGGAGGGGGAACGAACCUCCGCUGGUGUCCUUCUUUAUUUCAAAGACGUUGGCAGACAAAGGAGGUCUGUCCGUCCCCGAGGCCUGUUUCCAUUCUCCGCUCCCUCUGGACAAGCGCUGGGUCUCAUCCACCCUCGUGUGUCCCUCACACAAGUGUUAUACAAGGACGACUUUUCACAUGUUACACACGUUUAAAACAUCAGGGCAACAUCAGGGCAACAUCAGGGCAACAUCAGGCCUAUGUUUUAGUUUGUGCGUCUGCGUGGUCACUUGUCCACACUUCUAUCGUUCCUCACACACAAUGUAAAGUGAACAUGCGUGUCUCUCGGCUCUGAAUGUAGUGAUGAAUAUGUAGUGAUGUGUGUGUGUGUGUGUGUGUGUGUGUGUGUGUGUGUGGGAGUUUUGUGUUCACCACAUCAGUGUUAUCAGUAGUGUGUGUGUGGUUUUCUACACGUCACCGCUGCCGCCUCCACUCUGUGUGUGUGUAUGUGUGUGUGUGUGUGUGUGUGUGCGCUGUACACCUCUUGGAGUUAUACAGCCUCAAUCGUCAGUAACUUGGUCUCCAGCAACAAAAAAUGCUCUUACGUAUCAAGUGUGAGAGACUGAUGGAGGAGACCUAAAAUAAUAAGUCAUAUUUACCUACUGGAACAAUCACACGUCCACAAAACCAUGUUGCUUUUUCACCUGACAGUAUAAUUCAAUAUAAUUUAAAUGAAGUAAUUUAACAUUCAUAUAACAUUUUUCACUACACAUUUCGCUUUUGCUCUCAGUUUUAGUUUGACAAACGCGUUCCAGACUCCCGGCUACUUCUCAGGAUUCAUUCAAUGAAAAAAGGGGGACUUUUAUAAAACGAUCAAUGUGUUGAAAUAUUUUGAUUCAUUGUUUCCAGAUGAUGAAGAUUCAACAUCGGCCACCAGGAAGAGUCAUGAAGAAUUCUCCGCCGUCACUUCCAUCUCAACGGGACUUCUCCUAACUUUCCUCACUCUUCCCUGUCUGACAUGGAAAGAGCAGAAUGUAUUUUUUCUCUUUGGAAAGUCCCUCCAUGCAUCCAAGUCAGUUACUUCCACGUGUCCAUCUGUCUGCCGCUCUGAGUCACGCUGCCAUCACGCAGCCAGACGCCGGUCAGGUGGUGCACGCGCUCAGUGGAUGUCCAGUGUUUAUCAGCAGGCCUCAAGGUCACCUUGUAGACCUUUUGUCAAGGUGAAGCAUGCUGGGUGUCCUGUGGUCACCACAUUGGGGGGUGUUUGCACCUGGUUUAGGGCGAAGUGCAUGGAUGGAACAUGUGGAACAUGGUGGACGUAGUGGACGUGGUGGACGUGGUGGAACAUGGUGGAAUGUUGUGGACAUGGAGGAACAUAGUGGACAUGGUGGACGUGGAGGAACGUGGUGGAACAUGAAGGAACAUGGUGGACAUGGAGGAACGUGGUGGACAUGGUGGACAUGGAGGAAGGUGGUGGAACAUGAAGGAACGUCGUGGACAUGGAGGAACGUGGUGGACAAGGUGGACAUGGUGGACGUGGAGGAACGUGGUGGACAUGGUGGACAUGGAGGAACGUGGUGGACAUGGUGGACAUGGAGGAAUGUGGUGGACAUGGUGGACAUGGAGGAACAUGGUUGACAUGGUGGACGUGGAGGAACGUGGUGGACAUGCAGGAACAUAGUGGACAUGGUGUACAAGGAGGAACAUGGUGGACAUGGUGGAACGUGGUGGACAUGGUGGACAUGAAGGAACAUGGUGGACAUGGUGGACGUGAAGGAACGUGGUGGACAUGGUGGACAUGGAGGAACGUGGUGGACAUGGUGGACAUGGAGGAACGUGGUGGAACGUGGUGGACAUGGUGGACAUGGAGGAACGUGGUGGAACGUGGUGGACAUGGUGGACAUGGAGGAACGUGGAGGAACGUGGAGGAACGUGGUGGACAUGGUGGACAUGGAGGAACGUGGUGGAACGUGGUGGACAUGGUGGACAUGGAGGACAUGGAGGAACGUGGUGGACAUGGUGGACAUGGAGGAACGUGGAGGAC
ensembl:lncRNA